GGGCCCGUAGCACAGUGGUGAUGCGCCGCGUGGCAAACGCUGGAGGAUGCCGGUUCGAGUCCGGUCGGGUCCA
rnacentral:tRNA from 1 species